rnacentral:rRNA from 1 species
UACGAGGGGGGGCAAGUGUUGUUCGGAAUCACUGGGCGUAAAGGGAGCGUAGGCGGGCUCUUAAGUUGGAUGUUUAAAACCGGGGCCCAACCCCGGCGUGGCAUCCAAAACUGGGAGUCUUGAAUGGAACAGAGGCUAGUGGAAUUGGAGGUGUAGCGGUGGAAUGCGUAGAGAUCUCCAAGAACACCCGUUGCGAAGGCGGCUAGCUGGGUUCACAUUGACGCUGAGGCUCGAAAGCGUGGGGAGCAAACAGG